rnacentral:tRNA from 1 species
UCCGAUAUGGUCUAGUGGCUAGGAUUUGCCGCUCUCAUCGAGAGUCUGUUCACUCAGUGCCGGCAAGGCCCGGGUUCGAUUCCCGGUGUCGGAA